AGACCAUGAUGUAGACACUUUCUCUGCAAAUCUUUGUACCUUUUUCGGCUUCAUAUAAAGAUUCACCAUCCAAUUACACAAAACUCGUAAUGUCAUUUCUAAGUUU